AAGACCUUGCGCUUUUGGAGCGGCCGAUGCCUGAUUAGCUUGUUGGUAAGGUAAAAGCUUACCAAGGCUUCGAUCAGUAGCUGGUCUGAGAGGACGACCAGCCACACUGGGACUGAGACACGGCCCAGACUCCUACGGGAGGCAGCAGUGGGGAAUUUUGGACAAUGGGGGCAACCCUAAUCCAGCCAUGCCGCGUGAGUGAAGAAGGCCUUCGGGUUGUAAAGCUCUUUCAGCCGGAACGAAACGGUUACGGAUAACACCCGUGACUACUGACGGUACCGGAAGAAGAAGCACCGGCUAACUACGUGCCAGCAGCCGCGGUAAUACGUAGGGUGCGAGCGUUAAUCGGAAUUACUGGGCGUAAAGCGUGCGCAGGUGGUUUUGUAAGUCAGAUGUGAAAGCCCCGGGCUCAACCUGGGAACU
rnacentral:rRNA from 1 species